rnacentral:ncRNA from 1 species
UACUUGGUUGAUCCUGCCAAGGAAGCACACUUAGGUCAUAGAUUAAGCCAUGCAAGUGUUAGUUCAGGUAACGAAACUGCGAAUAGCUCAUUAAUACGCUCAGAAUCUAUUUGGCGGCGACCAACAGGUCUUAAAUGGAUAGCAGCAGCAACUCUGGUGCUAAUACAUGCGAUUGUUUCUCCAGAUGUGAAUUAUGGAGGAAAAGUUGACCUCAUCAGAGGCACGCCAUUCGACUGAGUGACCUAUCAGCUUGUACUUAGGGUCUUUACCUAGGUAGGCUAUCACGGGUAACGGGCGGUUACCGUCGGACUGCCGGAGAAGGCGCCUGAGAGAUAGCGACUAUAUCCACGGGUAGCAGCAGGCGCGAAACUUUCCCACUCGAGACUUUCGGAGGAGGUAAUGACCAGUUCCAUUGGUGCCUUUUGGUACUGUGGAUAGGGGUACGGUUUUCCACCGUACCGAAACCUAGCAGAGGGCCAGUCUGGUGCCAGCAGCUGCGGUAAUUCCAGCUCUGCGAGUUUGCUCCCAUAUUGUUGCAGUUAAAACGCCCGUAGUCUGAAUUGGCCAGCAAUGGUCGUACGUAUUUUUACGUUCACUGUGAACAAAUCAGGACGCUUAGAGUAUGGCCACAUGAAUGACUCAGCGCAGUAUGAAGUCUUUGUUUUCUUCCGAAAACAAGCUCAAUGAGAGCCAUCGGGGGUAGAUCUAUCUCAUGACGAGUGGUGGAAUACUUUGACUCAUGAGAGAGAAGCUGAGGCGAAGGCGUCUACCUAGAGGGUUUCUGUCGAUCAAGGGCGAGAGUAGGAGUAUCCAACAGGAUUAGAGACCCUGG